UCCUUCUUAUCGAAGGCACAUCCGCAUCUCUGCAGACUUCCGUGGAUGUCAAGGCCAGGUAAGGUUCUUCGCGUUGCAUCGAAUUAAACCACAUACUCCACCGCUUGUGCGGGCCCCCGUCAAUUCCUUUGAGUUUCAGUCUUGCGACCGUACUCCCCAGGCGGCGAACUUAACGCGUUAGCUUCGACACUGAGAGCCUGAUUGCUCCCAACGUCCAGUUCUCAUCGUUUAUGGCGUGGACUAC
rnacentral:misc_RNA from 1 species